rnacentral:lncRNA from 1 species
ACUAAUGUUAAUUUUUUAUUUUUAUAUUUUCAAAAAACGCAUCAAAUAUCAUAUAAUUUGGAGAAAAUUAUUAAAUGAGCAACUAUCAUAUAAGAGUUUAAGAAAAUCACAGGACUUGUCCUUUUUAAGACUAAUCUCACUUGGAUUCUUGCUCAUUCUUUAGUCCAAAGUGACUUUUCUUUUGAUCUAAAUCAACCUUAGACUUUUCUUACAAAGUCUUGGAAUGUGCAAGGAGAGGCCCUAAGAACUUGUCUUAUCCGAAUAAGCCCUGUAAUUCACUCACCUCUCUAUUUAUUUAGCUCAUAAGUCAAAAAUCUAUCACAUGAACUCCAAAAAUUAUUUUUUUUAUAUUUUAUUUUUAUUCAUGAUAUAAAACGAC